rnacentral:rRNA from 1 species
UACGAAGGGGGCUAGCGUUGCUCGGAAUCACUGGGCGUAAAGCGCACGUAGGCGGAUUGCUAAGUCAGGGGUGAAAUCCUGGAGCUCAACUCCAGAACUGCCUUUGAUACUGGCGACCUUGAGUCCGGGAGAGGUGAGUGGAACUGCGAGUGUAGAGGUGAAAUUCGUAGAUAUUCGCAAGAACACCAGUGGCGAAGGCGGCUAACUGGUCCGGUUCUGACGCUGAGGCGCGAAAGCGUGGGGAGCAAACAGG